UCCUACGGGACGCAGCAGUGAGGAAUAUUGGUCAAUGGGCGGGAGCCUGAACCAGCCAAGCCGCGUGAGGGAAGAAGGUACAGCGUAUCGUAAACCUCUUUUGUCAGGGAACAAAGGCGGGGACUAGUCCCCGGAUGAGGGUACCUGAAGAAAAAGCAUCGGCUAACUCCGUGCCAGCAGCCGCGGUAAUACGUAGGUGGCGAGCGUUGUCCGGAAUUACUGGGCGUAAAGGGAGUGUAGGCGGGAAAGCAAGUCAGAAGUGAAAACUAUGGGCUUAACCCAUAGCCUGCUUUUGAAACUGUUUU
rnacentral:rRNA from 1 species